CUCAGCGUCAAAAAUGUACGAGUCAA
rnacentral:sRNA from 1 species